GACGAACGCUGGCGGCGUGCUUAACACAUGCAAGUCGAACGGUAAGGCCCUCCGGGGUACACGAGUGGCGAACGGGUGAGUAACACGUGGGUGAUCUGCCCUGCACUUCGGGAUAAGCCUGGGAAACUGGGUCUAAUACCGGAUAGGACCACUGCCUGCAUGGGUGGGGGUGGAAAGCGUUUGCGGUGUGGGAUGGGCCCGCGGCCUAUCAGCUUGUUGGUGGGGUGAUGGCCUACCAAGGCGACGACGGGUAGCCGGCCUGAGAGGGUGACCGGCCACACUGGGACUGAGAUACGGCCCAGACUCCUACGGGAGGCAGCAGUGGGGAAUAUUGCACAAUGGGCGCAAGCCUGAUGCAGCGACGCCGCGUGAGGGAUGACGUCCUUCGGGUUGUAAACCUCUUUCAGCACCGACGAAGCGCAAGUGACGGUAGGUGCAGAAGAAGGACCGGCCAACUACGUGCCAGCCGCCGCCGUAA
rnacentral:rRNA from 1 species